UAAGGAAUAUUGGUCAAUGGACGCUAGUCUGAACCAGCCAUGCCGCGUGAAGGAUUAAGGCCCUCUGGGUUGUAAACUUCUUUUAUAGGGGAAGAAAUGUGACGGUUCUCCGUCACUUGACGGUACCCUGGGAAUAAGCACCGGCUAACUCCGUGCCAGCAGCCGCGGUGAUACGGAGGGUGCAAGCGCUAUCCGGAUUCACUGGGUUUAAAGGGUGCGUAGGUGGGCAGAUAAGUCAGUGGUGAAAUCUUCCGGCUUAACCGGGAAACUGCCGUUGNUACUAUUUGCCUUGAAUAUUGCGGAGGUAAGCGGAAUAUGUCAUGUAGCGGUGAAAUGCUUAGAUACGACAUAGAACACCAAUUGCGAAGGCAGCUUACUACACAAUCAUUGACACUGAGGCACGAAAGCGUGGGUAGCGAACA
rnacentral:rRNA from 1 species